CCACUGCCUCUUUCUAUAAAAUUAUCAGUAGCUUCCCCCUUCUCUUUCUCCCUUCUCUCUCUCUCUCUCCCUCUCUUUCUCUCCCUCCCCCGCUCUCUCUCUCUCUCUCUCUCUUUCUCUCUAGUUACUGUUCUAUUGAUCGCAUGCCGGUCUUUCGGAUUCCUCCGGUGCACCACGAGUGGAUGAAGCUGCCAGCAUGAUCUGAUCAUCCCUUGGAUCUGUGUGUCAUGGACCUCCACAGGAGAUAAAUCAGGUCAUCUGGCAGUUUCAUCUGCUGAUGGGAGCAUCAGAAGAAAGAAACCCUAAACCUAGUUCAUUAGGGUUUCAUCCGCUGUUUUCUGUGUUUGUUUGUCCUUUCUUUCUCCUGGCAUGUGAUCUGAUGAGGAAUUUAGCUCAAUCAAACCGAAGAAGAGGAUAAGAGGGAAAGCAAGGGCCUGUUCUUAAGGUCUUGUACAAGAAAAAUGACUUCUGCUUGGGAUGAUUUAUCUCUCUUUGAUAUAAAGUUGAAUUUUGUUGUUCUUGCUAAAAUCCUUCUCUGGAUGUCAAUGCGUCAGAAUCAUCAGAAGCAAUUACACCUCAAAAGUAUGGUAUCAAUUUUCCUUAAGCUGCCACUGCUCACAAUUAGUAUGCACUUUGAAAAAGAUUGAAGCUUUUGCUCACUGUUCUAUAUGGAUUUCAGCUUUCUUCUAAGAAGAAAAGCAUCAACUUCGACUUCAGUUAUUAUUUUCAUUGGUAAGAUCUUGAUUCGGAAGCAUGAGAAUUGCUGUGUUAAUUUCCAAGCAUACACCAAAUGCUUGUCCUAAUUAUAUCAAACUACACCUCAAAUUUCAUCUAAAUUUGUCUCGAUAGAUUGUUGGACACGCGUCGAUAUGCUUGAUUUUUGUUUUUUCUUCUUUUUCAACCAAUUAUUUUGUUUUUGCCUUUGUUAUGCUUUACAUGUAAUCCACAAUUCUUGUUGUCUUUUAGUUUUCACGCGGUAUUAACGGCUAAACUAUUUUUCUUGGAAUGCAGUUGAAGAGUGUUUCAUUUCAUAUUUUGUGGGUUCCCUAAAAGAAAACUCAUGAACUUCCUUUCAUUCAUUUGAAUUUUUGAAGCAAGCUACUAUGAGUUUAUCACUCUCUAAUUGAAAAUGAAGCAAAAUGAUACCUUCAAAGAAUAUAAAAAGCUUUUCAGAUUCAUCAAUCAUGCUUUCUUCUGAAUUUUCUAACUAUUUUCCCCUUAAACUGCUCUUUGCAUUAUGAUUAGGCAUUCAAAACUAUUGAUGCUCAGAAGUCUGCAGAAACUAAUAUAUGUUUUGUUCUUCCUACUUGAGAUAGAUUUCAUGUUUCUGAAUUGACUUGUGAUUCCCCAUGGGAAAACAACAGCCUCCAUCUCAAAGAAAUUCUUGUCUACAUUGGUAAUCAUGCCUUAGUGCAACCACACAUCAAGAACAUAACUUUAGUGUCUCUGGAGCAAGUAAUGAUUGUUUGGAAAGCUGCUGCCUUCCAACAGACAUCUUCUCCUUCAUUUUGAUUUUGUUUGCUAAGAGGCAGCUUCUCAUAAAACAUACAUAGCAGUAGGAGCAAAGUAAGACAUCUCUUAGAUGCACUGAAGAGAAUUUGAGGAUGGAAGAAAGGCAGCAGUUUGGAAGCUGGAGAAGAAUUCAAGCUGGUGUUUUCUGAACUUAAUACCAAGAAUUGACCUCCAAGAUGUCUUUUUCAUGUGCAAGUGACCAGUUAUUGCCAUCCAAAUUCAUACAGCAUGAGCAGUAGUGUUCCAUGCAAAUGCAGCUUAGCCAUUGAUUCACAUAGUUGUUGCAGUACUCAACUAUUGCAGUCAGGGAAUCACAAGCCUUUUGCUGAGUGCCAAAAGAGCAUAAGAAUAAGCUUGAGUGGCUGCACAAGCACAGUGCAGUGAUGGGAAUAAGAGGAGGAGAUGAGCUCUUCAUCUUGGAGUAGGUGGGUCAGGGAAAGCAUAUCAUCCACAGGAUGUGUCAACCUUUGAAAAGAUUGCUCACUUGGAACAAAUUUAUGCUCAAGUAUUACACAGCCAAAUUACUUUUAAAGCUUAGGUUACUCAUUCUCUUUUCGCGAAAAGAUUCAAUAUUAUAAUUCUAAUUGCCAUUUGAUCUCAGCCUGAAACAGAGAUUUUGGCAAGUGUUGCUUGCUACUGUAGUAGUGUGCUACCAUUGACAUCAUUGUGAUCAUUCACAGAGGCAUGACUGUGGAAAGCUUUUGUGCUGUAUCAAACGAGAGAGAUCAUCAACAUGUAUUUGAUUCAGUUUAUGUACAAUGAAGAAAAGGAAUUCGUCGGUGUA